UGGGGAAUUUUGGACAAUGGGGGAAACCCUGAUCCAGCCAUCCCGCGUGUGCGAUGAAGGCCUUCGGGUUGUAAAGCACUUUUGGCAGGAAAGAAACGUCGCGGGUUAAUACCCCGCGAAACUGACGGUACCUGCAGAAUAAGCACCGGCUAACUACGUGCCAGCAGCCGCGGUAAUACGUAGGGUGCAAGCGUUAAUCGGAAUUACUGGGCGUAAAGCGUGCGCAGGCGGUUCGGAAAGAAAGAUGUGAAAUCCCAGAGCUUAACUUUGGAACUGCAUUUUUAACUACCGGGCUAGAGUGUGUCAGAGGGAGGUGGAAUUCCGCGUGUAGCAGUGAAAUGCGUAGAUAUGCGGAGGAACACCGAUGGCGAAGGCAGCCUCCUGGGAUAACACUGACGCUCAUGCACGAAAGCGUGGGGAGCAAACAGGAUUAGAUACCCUGGUAGUCCAACGCCCUAAACGAUGUCAACUAGCUGUUGGGGCCUUCGGGCCUUGGUAGGCGCAGCUAACGCGUGAAGUUGACCGCCU
rnacentral:rRNA from 1 species